AUUGAACGCUGGCGGCAGGCCUAACACAUGCAAGUCGAACGAGUGGCGGACGGGUGAGUAAUGUCUGGGAAACUGCCUGAUGGAGGGGGAUAACUACUGGAAACGGUAGCUAAUACCGCAUACCAUCGGAUGUGCCCAGAUGGGAUUAGCUAGUAGGUGGGGUCACGGCUCACCUAGGCGACGAUCCCUAGCUGGUCUGAGAGGAUGACCAGCCACACUGGAACUGAGGCACGGGCCAGGCUCCCACGGGAGGCAGCAGUGGGGAAUAUUGCACAAUGGGCGCAAGCCUGAUGCAGCCAUGCCGGGUGUAUGAAGAAGGCCUUCGGGUUGGAAAGUACUUUCAGCGGGGAGGCGUUACCCGCAGAAGAAGCACCGGCUAACUCCGUGCCAGCAGCCGCGUAAUUC
rnacentral:rRNA from 1 species